GGUGAAAUGGCCGAGCGGUCUAAGGCGCUGUGUUCAGGUUACAUCCCAACCAAGGACGAUAUCUUCGCAGUCUAGUAAUAGGCUUGGGUUCGAAUCCCAAUUUCAUCA